UACAGAGGGUGCGAGCGUUACUCGGAAUUACUGGGCGUAAAGCGUGCGUAGACGGUAGCGUAAGUCAGAUGUGAAAGCCCCGGGCUCAACCUGGGAAUUGCAUUUGAGACUGCUCUGCUCGGGUGCGGAAGAGGGAAGCGGAAUUUCCGGUGUAACGGUGAAAUGCGUAGAUAUCGGAAGGAACACCAGUGGCGAAAGCGGCUUCCUGGUCCGACACCGACGUUCAGGCACGAAAGCGUGGGGAGCAAACAGG
rnacentral:rRNA from 1 species